AGUGGGGAAUAUUGCACAAUGGGGGAAACCCUGAUGCAGCCAUGCCGCGUGUGUGAAGAAGGCCUUCGGGUUGUAAAGCACUUUCAGUCGUGAGGAAGGGUGUGCAGUUAAUAGCUGUACAUUUUGACGUUAGCGACAGAAGAAGCACCGGCUAACUCCGUGCCAGCAGCCGCGGUAAUACGGAGGGUGCGAGCGUUAAUCGGAAUUACUGGGCGUAAAGCGCAUGCAGGCGGUCUGUUAAGCAAGAUGUGAAAGCCCGGGGCUCAACCUCGGAACAGCAUUUUGAACUGGCAGACUAGAGUCUUGUAGAGGGGGGUAGAAUUUCAGGUGUAGCGGUGAAAUGCGUAGAGAUCUGAAGGAAUACCGGUGGCGAAGGCGGCCCCCUGGACAAAGACUGACGCUCAGAUGCGAAAGCGUGGGGAGCAAA
rnacentral:rRNA from 1 species